CCAGCCCUUCUUCUGCAGUGGAGCGUUUGACUGUGCCACGGUUAAAUUGUCAUACCGAAAGUGUCACACGGUACGUACGCCACGGAAAUGGCUGCUGCGGCUACAGAAGAGACACCCGCAUUGAGCACCGAGAGCGAUGCGCUGCCCGUGGAGACAAACGAGGGCAACGGCGAGGGGAAAGAAAAGGCCCUCACCGAACCGGAAACCGAGGAACCACUCAGCAGCGUAGAACCGAAAAUAGAAGAGGUGGACGCGGAGGUUGGCGAAGAGAAGCCCGCUGCAGCGGCAGACAAGGCCGCGAGCGAGGCGGUGACAGACGACGGUGCUGUAACGGUCGAACAGGAGUCGACAGCCGCUCCAGAAGAACCGGAGCAAAAGCCAGAGUCACGGGAGAGCCCCGGAGGUGGUAGUAACGAACCUGCCAACGACAGCACAGCGAAAGAGGCGAAGGAGGAGCCGGGAGAGGACUGCUCGAGGUGCUCGGGGAUAGACUGCGAAAAGAGCAAAACAGUUUGUGAAGAUGGUGAGAAGCCCAGCGGCGGGGGCGGGGAACUGGACGACAAGAGGCGGCCGAGUGUGGAGAUAUCAUCCUCGGAUGGUGAACCGCUGAGCCGCAUGGACUCUGAGGACAGUAUCAGCAGUACCCUGAUGGAGAUGGAAAGCACUGUGUCCAGUGGGCGUUCCACCCCUGCUAUGAUGAACGGACAGAGCAAUGCCAGCUCCUCUGGGGCUAAGACAGUCGCUUACUCCUGCUGUUGGGACCUCUGUCCGCAGUGCUUCAACUCCAGUCCUGAUCUGGCAGAGCAUAUCAGGGGCAUUCAUGUUGAUGGGCAGAGAGGAGGGGUGUUUGUGUGUCUAUGGAAGGGUUGUAAGGUGUACAACACACCGUCCACCAGUCAAAGUUGGCUCCAGAGACACAUGUUGACACACAGUGGAGAUAAGCCCUUCAAGUGUGUAGUUGGUGGCUGCAACGCUAGCUUUGCUUCUCAAGGAGGGUUAGCUCGUCAUGUCCCCAGCCACUUCAGCCAGCAGAGUUCCUCCAAAAUGUCCAGCCAGGCAAAACUCAAGGAGGAGUCGCCCUCUAAGGCUGGACUCAACAAGAGGAAGAAACUCAAGAACAAACGCAGGUGCUCCCUACCGAGGCCCCAUGACUUCUUCGAUGCCCAAACCAUGGAUGCUAUUCGCCACAGGGCCAUCUGUCUCAACCUCACCACCCACAUUGAAAGUGUGGGCAAUGGCCACAGUGUGGUCUUUCACAGCACGGUGCUAGCCAGAAGGAAAGAGGGGUCUGGCAAGGUGAAGGUCCUCCUACAUUGGACACCUGAGGACAUACUACCUGAUGUGUGGGUGAAUGAAACGGAGCGGUCUCAGCUGAAGACUAAAGUGGUGCACUUGUCCCAGUUACCGCAGGACACAGCCAUGCUGCUAGACCCAAACAUCUAUAGGUGUGUAGGAGAAACUACAGUUGCCACGAAGUACGCAAACGCCCCCAUCUAGAGUCAGUGUGUGACAUCUGUAGAUAUAAAAGGCUCAUUCUAAGAGCACUUCCUCAGAAGCGGUUGAAGCGAAGCCUGUAAGGAGUCAACUGUGGACUCGAUACUUAAGGGGAAAAGCUUGUUCGUAGCAGGUUUAUCUAUAUGGGAUGGGACGCGACGCUCUUCAUCCAUCUCUGCUGAACACUGAACAGGGGGAAUGAAGUGGCAAUAAAAGGAAGUGAAACUUGGCUAUGCUGCAGUUCUGCUGUUCUCCCUCUUCAAUUUUGUAUAUCUGAAAUGACUGUAGCCAAGUGUUACGUAAAAUGGGACAAAUCAUUUAAAAAAAGUUUGUGUUCAUCAAAAACUAAAAUGAAUGUUUUUUUUUAACAAGCACCAAACUGAAAAUAUGCUUAAUACUCAGUGGUGUAAAAAAAAAAAAAAGUUUUGUGUAACCUUGUCAGAAAAUACAACAUAUUUUAUAACUGUUUUGUGUAAAAUAUUUAUGCAGAUUUUUAACUUAUUUUUAUACCAUAAAAAUGCUGGUGUAAUGUGGAUUUUUGUGAAGGUUUUGAAUAGAACCGUAUUUACUGUGAUAAUCUAUGUUAACUGUCACUUGUAGGGAUAUUUGGAAAUUUCUAGUUGUAAUUACAUUGUACAUGGCAGAAGUCUUAACAGAUUAUCCUAUUCAUACAUACUGAAUGCAGUACCUUUACUCGUGUGUAUGACAAUGAAGUGUGAGGUUGUACCAGUUAUGUCAGACUUGUAUUCAAUGAAAUGCAACUGUUACAGGAGCAAUAACUCUGUAGUUAAGGACACUACUGUGUAGCUCUUAAUCCCUUCCAGUCUGUAGACAGUACAACAUGGAAAUAACUUACAUUUCAGCACACACAGUAUAAUUCACAGCAACUUAACCCCACCCACCCCCCUCCCCAAGUAACAUGAACUGUAUUUAUUAGUUAUGAUAAAUUUACAUUAUUACUUUUUCUAUUGUUAAAAAGGUUGUGUUGUGUUUUCUACUAUUUGUUGUCCCUGUUGGAAAUAGAAUAAUGUGUUUGUAAUAAAAUGGGGGAAAUGACA